UCAUGGCUCAGGAUGAACGCUAGCUACAGGCUUAACACAUGCAAGUCGAGGGGCAGCAUGGUCUUAGCUUGCUAAGGCCGAUGGCGACCGGCGCACGGGUGAGUAACACGUAUCCAACCUGCCGUCUACUCUUGGACAGCCUUCUGAAAGGAAGAUUAAUACAAGAUGGCAUCAUGAGUCCGCAUGUUCACAUGAUUAAAGGUAUUCCGGUAGACGAUGGGGAUGCGUUCCAUUAGAUAGUAGGCGGGGUAACGGCCCACCUAGUCUUCGAUGGAUAGGGGUUCUGAGAGGAAGGUCCCCCACAUUGGAACUGAGACACGGUCCAAACUCCUACGGGGGGCAGCAGUGAGGAAUAUUGGUCAAUGGGCGAGAGCCUGAACCAGCCAAGUAGCGUGAAGGAUGACUGCCCUAUGGGUUGUAAACUUCUUUUAUAAAGGAAUAAAGUCGGGUAUGGAUACCCGUUUGCAUGUACUUUAUGAAUAAGGAUCGGCUAACUCCGUGCCAGCAGCCGCGGUAAUACGGAGGAUCCGAGCGUUAUCCGGAUUUAUUGGGUUUAAAGGGAGCGUAGAUGGAUGUUUAAGUCAGUUGUGAAAGUUUGCGGCUCAACCGUAAAAUUGCAGUUGAUACUGGAUAUCUUGAGUGCAGUUGAGGCAGGCGGAAUUCGUGGUGUAGCGGUGAAAUGCUUAGAUAUCACGAAGAACUCCGAUUGCGAAGGCAGCCUGCUAAGCUGCAACUGACAUUGAGGCUCGAAAGUGUGGGUAUCAAACAGGAUUAGAUACCCUGGUAGUCCACACCGGUAAACGAUGAAUACUCGCUGUUUGCGAUAUACUGCAAGCGGCCAAGCGAAAGCGUUAAGUAUUCCACCUGGGGAGUACGCCGGCAACGGUGAAACUCAAAGGAAUUGACGGGGGCCCGCACAAGCGGAGGAACAUGUGGUUUAAUUCGAUGAUACGCGAGGAACCUUACCCGGGCUUAAAUUGCAGAUGAAUUACGGUGAAAGCCGUAAGCCGCAAGGCAUCUGUGAAGGUGCUGCAUGGUUGUCGUCAGCUCGUGCCGUGAGGUGUCGGCUUAAGUGCCAUAACGAGCGCAACCCUUGUUGUCAGUUACUAACAGGUUCCGCUGAGGACUCUGACAAGACUGCCAUCGUAAGAUGUGAGGAAGGUGGGGAUGACGUCAAAUCAGCACGGCCCUUACGUCCGGGGCUACACACGUGUUACAAUGGGGGGUACAGAGGGCCGCUACCACGCGAGUGGAUGCCAAUCCCCAAAACCUCUCUCAGUUCGGACUGGAGUCUGCAACCCGACUCCACGAAGCUGGAUUCGCUAGUAAUCGCGCAUCAGCCACGGCGCGGUGAAUACGUUCCCGGGCCUUGUACACACCGCCCGUCAAGCCAUGGGAGCCGGGGGUACCUGAAGUGCGUAACCGCGAGGAGCGCCCUAGGGUAAAACUGG
rnacentral:rRNA from 1 species